rnacentral:rRNA from 1 species
AGCAGCCGCGGUAAUUCCAGCUCCAAUAGCGUAUAUUAAAGUUGUUGCAGUUAAAAAGCUCGUAGUUGAAUUUCGGGGUUCUACCGUUGGUCGGGCUAACCAGUCUGUACUAGCGUGUAGAAUUCCUACCUUCUGGGGAACCAUCAUGUUAUUAAUUUAGCGUGGUGGGAAACCAGGACCUUUACCUUGAAAAAAUUAGAGUGUUCAAAGCAGGCUUACGUCUGAAUACAUUAGCAUGGAAUAAUAAAAUAGGACGGUGGUCCUGUUUUGUUGGUUUCUGAAUCACCGUAAUGAUUAAUAGGGAUAGUUGGGGGCAUUAGUAUUCAAUUGUCAGAGGUGAAAUUCUUGGAUUUAUUGAAGACUAACUUCUGCGAAAGCAUUUGCCAAGGAUGUUUUCAUUAAUCAAGAACGAAAGUUAGGGGAUCGAAGACGAUCAGAUACCGUCGUAGUCUUAACCAUAAACUAUGCCGACUAGGGAUCGGACGAUGUUAAAUUUAUUGACUCGUUCGGCGCCUUACGG